CGGCGGACGGGUGAGUAACGCGUGGGUAACCUGCCUCAUACAGGGGGAUAACAGUUGGAAACGGCUGCUAAUACCGCAUAAGCGCACAGUACCGCAUGGUACGGUGUGAAAAACUCCGGUGGUAUGAGAUGGACCCGCGUCUGAUUAGGUAGUUGGUGGGGUAACGGCCUACCAAGCCGACGAUCAGUAGCCGACCUGAGAGGGUGACCGGCCACAUUGGACUGAGACACGGCCCAA
rnacentral:rRNA from 1 species